rnacentral:rRNA from 1 species
CCUACGGGAGGCAGCAGUGAGGAAUAUUGGUCAAUGGACGAGAGUCUGAACCAGCCAAGUAGCGUGAAGGAUGACUGCCCUAUGGGUUGUAAACUUCUUUUAUAAAGGAAUAAAACGAGGCACGUGUGCCUUUUUGCAUGUACUUUAUGAAUAAGGAUCGGCUAACUCCGUGCCAGCAGCCGCGGUAAUACGGAGGAUCCGAGGGUUAUCCGGAUUUAUUGGGUUUAAGGGGAGCGUAGAGGGGUGGUUAAGUCAGUGGGAAAAGCCCGGGGCGAAACCCCGGCGAGCCGUUGAAACUGGCUGUCUUGAGAUGUCGAGAGGUAUGUGGAAUGCGAAGUGUAGCGGUGAAAUGCUUAGAGAUUGCGCAGAACUCCGAUUGCGAAGGCAGCAUACCGGCGGCGAUCUGACGCUGAGGCACGAAAGCGUGGGUAUCGAACAGGAUUAGAUACCCGAGUAGUC